GCUGCCCUCAAGCACGGCUUGUGUGUUGGGCCGCCGUCCCCGGUUCUCCCCCGGGGACGGGCCCGAAAGGCAGCGGCGGCACCGCGUCCGGUCCUCGAGCGUAUGGGGCUUCGUCACCCGCUCUGUAGGCCCGGCCGGCGCCAGCCGACACCCAACUUUAUUUCUAA
rnacentral:misc_RNA from 1 species